AGCUUUGCACAGUGGCAGUAUCGUAGCCAAUGAGGUUUAUCCAAGGCGCAAUUACUGCUAAUUGUAUCUAUUAUUACCUGCAUCUAUUACUAUUGGGUUGGCCAAAAGUUUGUUCAGUUUUAAGUAAAAAUAAAAGAUUCAUUUUU